ensembl:processed_transcript RIKEN cDNA 2610307P16 gene
ACUGCUGCAAGUUAUCACUGGACAAAAUAUCAUCAACUUCUUCAUUUAAAUUGAGUUUCUUCAGUUAAAUUGCUGGGAUUUUUUGACAAGGCUUUCCUUAUGUGGAUUAUUGGAGUGUGAUGCCCGGGAAUUCUCUACUUGUAGAAGCACCCCCACGUGACUGCAGAAGCCUUCACACCCAGCACGCUCAGAAAGUACUGUCUUAAACCUCACUUAUGUCAGUGGCGGCAGCGGCACCACCAUCACCACCACCACCAUCACCAUCAGAGAAAAAGAAAUCUGCCUUUAUGUCAUGAUGGGAAUGAGUGAUGGCCUUCCAGUGACCAGCUGGGACUGACUGCCUUACAAGACGCAUGUGUAUGAUUAAGAGAGAGACAUGCGUGACUCCCAGAUGUACCUCCUUCCUGUCCCACAGAGUUCCUGAAGGGAGUGAGUUAUGGGGUAACUUAUAACACGGCAGGCUCUUCCUCAAGAUAGCCCUUGUGAAAACAGGAAGACGAAACUCGGGUUUCGACGAGAAGACCACAGCUUGGGAUCCCGUCUGGAUGUACAAGCAGAAACAUCUUCAUACUUUUCCAUUUCUAACCGUCACGCCCCACCCAACCCUCCCAAAGAGACAUCUGCUGAGAGUGGAUCUGUCGGUGUUAAGCAGCUGAAGCAGAAGAAGAAGGAAGAGGAGGAGGAGGAGGAGGAGGAAGAAGAAGAAGAAG